UGCAUAUGGACCAGAAUGAAAAGCUUUGCAUGUUUGGUGUGACCCAUUUCAUAGCCAUUGAUAGCUUCAGCAAAAAAAUUGUUGGACGUCCCACCAUGGCAAUAAAAAACAAUUUAACAAUUUAUGAAGAGGUGUACAAAAAUGCUGUCCUUUCCCAUGGGAUGUGGGAUCAGGUCAGAGUGGAACAUGGUAGAGAAUUUUAUCUAACCCUCUUCAUGCAAGACAUCUUAGCAGAAUACAGGCAUAACCAGCAACGACUGCCUUACAUCCAGACAACAUCAACUAAGGCAAAGGCAUUCCUAAUCUGCUGACCAGAGAUGGCUGCAAGAGAAGAAUUUCAGAGCAACUGCUGCCAAGGGCCUCAGAAGCUGCAGACCUAUACAGACAGGAAAUGGGACACAGUUUGAUUACUCCAUCAGCAUUUGGCAUCGAUCCAUUUCAGUCUGAAGAGGACAAAAUUAAGGUAGAGACAGAGUUUAAUGCACUGAAUUUUGACCUUGAUAAUGUACUGAACUACACUGUAAAUGAGUAUUACAGACCAUACCAAGAUGUGCAUAGAGAUGCUUUAUAUCGUACCACUUACAGACAAAACUUAUCUGAUGUUUUUUAUUUUUUAUCGUAAACUGUA